rnacentral:lncRNA from 1 species
AGGUAAUUCGUGAUAACAGUAGUUUGCAUCCAGCAAUACAGGAUUGAAGCUAGCAACUUGUUGGUGGCUUUGAUAGCAACUACAAUCAAAGUUAUAGGUAUGUUCGGACAAAUGAGAUGCUUCAUGAAGGAAUCAGUAAUAGCAGUACUUCAUGAACUUUUUGUGGCUGUGAAUUAGCAAAUACAAGCGAAGUUAUAGGAUGUUUUGACAAAUGAGAUGCUUCAUGAAGGAGUCAACAGUAGCAGUACUUCAUGCCAGCUACAUGCAAUCAACAACCAAUAACAUAUUAAAAUUUUAGUCGCUUGUUUUCUUACAAGUGAUGGUUGAACAACAUUAAGUGUUGAGGAUACCAGCGAGGCAUUCAUGGAAUUGUGGGUUGAAAUGAAUUUUUAAGUAUUGGAGCUCUGCUUGUAGAUGGUGCUAAAAUUAUGUGACAUUGUAUGUUUAGUGAAUGGUAAUUUUUAAUUUCAUGUUAGACUUAUACUAGAUUCCAGGAAGUCUUUUUUAAUUCUUAAACUUCAG